UACGUAGGGGGCAAGCGUUGUCCGGAAUCACUGGGCGUAAAGCGCGUGUAGGCGGAUCGCUAAGUCUGUGGUGAAAGCGCCUGGCUUAACCGGGCGAGGUCCAUGGAAACUAGCGGUCUGGAGGCCGGUAGAGGGGGGUGGAAUUCCGGGUGUAGCGGUGAAAUGCGUAGAUAUCUGGAGGAACACCGGUGGCGAAGGCGGCAUCCUGGACCGGCAUUGACGCUGAGGCGCGAAAGCCAGGGGAGCAAACGGG
rnacentral:rRNA from 1 species